CCCGGGUUGUACCUCGGGCCGUCUCUCUUCCCUCACACCUCAGCCCGAACUCGACGCACCCCGGCCCCCCCACACCUCAGGUCAGUUCUGGAGACCGCUCGUCGUCGUCGUCGUCGCUGCCGCCGUUCCCUCCCAGCAUCCCGUUUCUUCUCACGCUGAAGAGAUCGCAUCUCUCACUUCUCCGCCCGCGCACCUUAUAUAGAUGUUCGGGCUGCCCGUCAGCCAAUCGCAGCCCAGAACGCCGCUGUCGCUUCCCGCCUUUAUGGCUUCCCGCCGCUUUUUCUUCUCACCUGAGCGUUCCCUCCCUUUCUCGUUGUGGGCGGACGGGGCGGGGUCACCUGAAGGUCACGGCUGGGGUCACCUGAAGGUCACCGCACCUCUCGCAGGUGGUGCCGCCCGUUCCUUCAGGCAGAGCUGCCCCACAGGUGAUCUCACUUCACAAACAGUGCUUGUGCGGAACCCAUUUCUUCAAUUUCAGUGUAUCUUUUAACAGCACGUACACAUCAGGUGUUCCUUCCUGAGCUGUAGAUGCCCACAAAUGUAAUUUAAAAAUAAAUAAAUAAAUAUCUAAGGACUUCUUCACAGUGACACCUCCCAUCUCUGCUCAUACACAAAAAUCUCUUCUGAGCUUCAAGAUACCAUUAUUGAGGGAGAAGGGUGAAAGAAGCUGAUACCUGAUCUAGGAAGAAUACCAUUUAUUUGUCAACUCAGGAUGUUCUUGUUUUAUAGAGCUGCUUGUGUUUUGUAACUCAUUUACACACCAUGGUUGGAAAUGCUCACCUAAUGGCUCUGCCUUGCAGUGUGUUUGCUGAAUUCAUUUUGUUCUGUCCUUGGCUAUGUUCUUUCUCAGUGUAACUGUGGUCUAAACUGAGGCUAUGGAGGCAACAAUGAUGGACACAGAACGUAUGGUGCUCCCACUGAUGGGCGAUGCCAAAACAGGCUGUAGCAAUAGCAGAAAUGGCUCUCAUCUGCUGCAAGGAAAAGGUUCCCUUCAGGGAAUCCUCUGCAAUGAUAACCAGAUGGAUGAAAAUAAACGCAUAGGCAUGUGGAAUUCCUGACAUCAGCUGAAUUUAAACUGACAGAUUUCCUUCUCGUUUGUUCUUGUUCGAAACAGUAGUCCUUAUUAGCACUUUUGGGAAGGUACUCAGUAAAUACAGAAGACUGAAAAAGUAUUGUUUACUUUGGCUUUAAUUACAAUAAAUACAGAAAUAAAUAAGUAAAUAUAUUAAAAAGUCUGGUCCUGUAAAUAGGUUGUAAAUAGGGCAGGGUUAUAAUCUGAAAGAAAGAACAACUUUUUCCCAGGAUACAUAGUAAAAUAAAACAUCCAUUCUUCUGUUUAUCUUUUCUUAGCAAUAAUCUAUCAUCACUCAUGGAAUGCACUUACCUAUCAAAAGCGUAAAUGGAUUAAGCCAACAAAUACUUCCCAGAACUCCAAACUAAAUAAAAGACUCAGAAAACAUUGGGAGGCAGCACCAACUACCACCAACACCGACCAGUUCAGGAAUUUUCUGCCAAACAGCAUACAACUUGCUCAGCAAUAAAUCCACUUGCCCUUAUUACCAAUAUCCUAUCCUGUUUUACUUCCAAGGAAAAAAAAAAAGAAGAAGAAGAAGAAGAAGAAGAAACAAACAAACACAAUACAUCCCAAACCCACAGAGCAAGGACAUGGACAAUGUUUUUUUUGUUUGUUUGUUUGUUUGUUUGUUUUAUCUCACUGUUAAAACAAAUAAAACUAAAAAUCAGAACCCAAGAAAAUGUUUGCAGACUUUUGUCAGUUCUAGAGUCAUUUACAGACCAUCAUCAAUGCAGGUACCUUGUUGAGAAGGGUGAAACAUCCCCGCCUUGUAAGUGUAUCACAGUUGUGAAGAUAAAAUUCAUUUCCAAAUAUUUCCCUAAGAUUUUCAGAAGCCUGGACUGCCUUAGUGCAAAAUGCACUAAGACCCCAGCAUUUCAUCUAGCUGUCUAAAAUAUUAAAAUAAACUUUUCAUAUAUGCCAUAUUUGAAUACAUUCUUCUCUAAGUGCACUUUGGAGUGCUUGCCCCACAUUAGCAAUGGUAGUUAUGGUAUACUGCUAUUUACUGGUGCUCACGAGAAUGCCUGGAAGGAUUUCAUCUGAAGGUUUAGGUGACAUCCAAAGUUACUGGACGCUUCAGCAGCUGAAAUAGAAAUGCUGUUCAGCUCCCUGGCCGUCUUCUCUAGACCGUGCCUCUAACAAGAAGAGUACACUUGCACGCGUUGUUGAACUACAGUAGGACAGGACAGUGAUUAAAGUAAUGAAGCAGAGUGAAGUAUCUCUCUUGUAACAUGCAUUAAAUAUGGAAUGGAAUGUGAAGGGAAAUAAGAUGAAUUUUGUAUAGCUCACCUUAACUAAGUCGUGUCCCCGCAGAAAUUAAUUUGAAUACUAAAAGCAUGUAUAAACAUUGUCUGAGCUUACUCUCAGUGCCCUGUUCAAGCCAGAUGCACUGUCCUGGGUCUGUUAACCCUAGGUGUUUGAAUACAUUCUCCUAUUCAUCCAGCUGGCUGUCACUUUGUAUCUUGCAAGUGUUUAACAGCAAAUUCUAUGGAUGUUAAGUUACAUUUUAGCACCUUUCCAAACAUCUGCCAGCCAGCACACAAUGUUCCAGCCCGACCACACGCUUCUGAAUUUCACACUACUCCAGUGGGUUCCACUGUGUUCUAUUGCAUUAAGACUAGGGAGCACCACGUCUUUGCCAGCCCCUUGUUUUACUUUGGUUUGUAGUCCCCCAGAGCAGUGAAGGUCAGCAUGUUUGUUCCAGCAAGACUUAUUUUUCUUAAAAAAAAAAAAAAUAAUAAUAAAAAUAAAAAAGUACUCAUUUAUGUGGAUUUCACAUAGUAGUGGUAUCGACAACUGAUGAUUUCGUGAUUUUAUAUCCCUUGGGAUAUAAAAUAUCCAUUUUGCUCAAACACUGCUCCUAGAGGUGCUAUGUGUACGAGUUAUUGGAGCUGUUUGUGGUUUUGUUCAUUUGUUUGGUUUAGAUUGCUUUGAGUGGGGUUAAUUCAGUGGAGACCUACAUAGAUACAACCUGCUGCUUCUCCUGGAGAACGUUACGGUGUACCGCAUACCUUCAGCAGGAUCUCUCACCUCACUCUGCACAUUCAGAUCUCUUUCCUUUUCACAUCUGACGCUGAUGAUGACUGUGAAAACAUAUCUGUAACAGCGUACAAUAAAAACAUUCACAGUUCUACCAUCAGAAGAAAUAAAAAUGAAUGUAGUCCAACUUCCAGGAUUUUAAAUUAAGAACGUAAAGUGAAUUUCAUCACCAAAGUCUUCACAGAGUACUUGUUUCCUUAACUAGAUGUAACUAAAAUCUUACUGGAAGUCUUCCACGUUUAUAAGACACGUGAACGUAAUCCUGAGCAACACCGUAGAGAAGUGUUUGUAAAGCUACGCUUCAGAUUUCACCAGUUGGCAAUUUUCUCAUCUGCAUCAUUAACCCAUUUGGGCAUUUGUUACAUCACUACUCCCAUAUUUCCACUGCUGUCUUUGGUCACGUUGUCUCUGAGGUACAGAGCUUUUACAGGUUUAACAAACCUUUAUUUUUUUUUUCCUGCAGGGAAUGCAGCCGGGGUUGGAAGGGACCUGAAACUUGUAGCUCUGCGCAAGACCUCCUGAACUUCAAAUGCUGUCUCCAAGGGCGGUGUCCAAAUGCUUCUCCAACUCCAUCAGUCCGGGCCUGUGACUGUAGUCCCAGGGCUCUUGUUCUGGUACCCAACCAUCCUCUGGUGAAGGAUCUUGUCUUAAUGUCCAGUGUGGCUUAAUACACAUACUUAAUACGUGUUCAAGUCCUUUGCCCUGGUCAUUUGUAGAAAUACUAAAGAGACCUUGCCCUGAAGUGAAGCCCUGUGGACUCUGACUGGGGCUGAUCUGCUGGCCUCCAUGCUCUUAUUUAUUCUAACAAACACUUGGAGCCUCUCUUGGAUGGGGCUGAGUCACAGCGCUUAGCCUUUCGUUUAAGAUGGACCAUUAGAAAGGGCUGUUUACUGACAUGGGAUUUAGUUCUCAGAUCUGCUUUCCUGACAAGGAUUUUCUUUACCUACUCAACUGGACGAUACAUGCUGUAAACUGGACCAGAAGGGAAGACAUCUUGCUUUUGUAACCCAGGCUUUCUCUUAAGCAGCAGGAUGUCACUGGAACACACAGGAACAGGAAACCUGCCUCCAGGCAUUGACUCCUUUUCCUCAUUCAUCAAAGGGUAUCCAGCCAUCGAAUCCAUAUCUUUGCAAUUUGGAGAGAAGGAUGUUGUGGGCAACAGCAUUAAAAGCCUCACAGAAAUCCAGAUAGUUGAUAUCAGCAUCUCUUCCCCAUUUUGUUUAUGCCAUCACAGAAAGAAAGGCCAGUAGGAUGUAAAGACAGGAUCUGCCCUC
ensembl:lncRNA